UACGUAGGUCGCAAGCGUUGUCCGGAUUUACUGGGCGUAAAGAGCGCGCAGGCGGCUGGUCAAGUCCGAUGUGAAAUCUCCCGGCUCAACUGGGAAACUGCAUCGGAAACUGAUCGGCUUGAAGAUGGGAGAGGGUAGUGGAAUUCCCGGUGUAGUGGUGAAAUGCGUAGAUAUCGAGAGGAACAUCGGUGGCGAAGGCGGCCUUCUGGACCGACACUGACGCUGAGGCGCGAAAGCGUGGGGAGCAAACAGG
rnacentral:rRNA from 1 species